rnacentral:rRNA from 1 species
AUCAGAAAGUGACGGCAAACUAUGUGCCAGCAGCCGCGGUAAUACAUAGGUCACAAGCGUUAUCCGAAAUUAUUGGGCGUAAAGCGUCCGUAGGUUGUUUGUUAAGUCUGGAGUUAAAGACCGGUGCUCAACGCCGGCACGCUUUAGAUACUGGCAAACUAGAGUUAUAAAGAGGUAAGUGGAAUUUCAUGUGAAGCGGUGGAAUGCGUAGAUAUAUGAAAGAACACCAAUGGCGAAGGCAGCUUACUGGUUAUAUACUGACACUGAGGGACGAAAGCGUGGGGAGCAAACAGGAUUAGAUACCCUGGUAGUCCACGCCGUAAACGAUGAUCAUUAGUUGGUGGGGGAACCCUCGCUAACGCAGCUAACGCAUUAAAUGAUCCGCCUGAGUAGUAUGCUCGCAAGAGUGAAACUUAAAGGAAUUGACGGGGACCCGCACAAGCGGUGGAGCAUGUGGUUUAAUUUGACGAUACGCGUAGAACCUUACCCACUCUUGACAUCCCUUGCAAAGCUAUAGAGAUAUAGUGGAGGUUAACAAGGUGACAGAU